GGCGUAGUGGUAACGCGCCCCAACUAGAGAUCGGGGAGUCGUGAGUUCGAUUCUCAC
rnacentral:tRNA from 1 species